GCUGGGCAUGGUGGCACAUGCCUGUAAUCCAAGCAGCUCAGAGGCUGAGGCAGGAGGAUCGCAAGUUCAAAGCCAGCUUCAGCUAGGCAACUUCACAAGACCCCAUCUCUA
rnacentral:sRNA from 1 species